UCUCUUCAUUUAUCUUCAUAUUCAUCAGCUGAAAAACAGCCAUGGAGGAGGGUUCAAGCUGGUUUUCAUACUUUAGCUUCAUUUUUGUCAAGUCAGCUCGGGGUUGGAGAUCGUCGGAGACAGCAUCACACUAUCGAGCCAUUAUCCAUGGAGUAUUGAUAUGUGUAUGUUAAAUGUUUUCAAAUGAGUGGCAUGUAUAGGGACUUAGUUUUUCUAUGAUGAUUGUUGUUGUGAUUAGCCAAAGGUAUUAGUUUAUAUUGAUUUGUUGUUUAUAGCCAUGAGAUAUGGCUUAUAAUGAUUUUGGCUUGUAAGCCCAUUUAUCCAUGAUAUGUGUUAAUGUCUUGUGAUGUGGUUA